rnacentral:rRNA from 1 species
GACGAACGCUGGCGGCGUGCUUAACACAUGCAAGUCGAGCGGUAAGGCCCUUUCGGGGGUACACGAGCGGCGAACGGGUGAGUAACACGUGGGUGACCUGCCCUCAGCUCUGGGAUAAGCCUGGGAAACCGGGUCUAAUACCGGAUGUGACUCCAUGACGCAUGUUGUGGGGUGAAAGCCUUGUGCGGCUGAGGAUGGGCCCGCGGCCUAUCAGCUUGUUGGUGGGGUGAUGGCCUACCAAGGCGACGACGGGUAGCCGGCCUGAGAGGGCGACCGGCCACAC